GACGAACGCUGGCGGCGUGCUUAACACAUGCAAGUCGAACGGUGAUGCUCCAGCUUGCUGGAGUGGAUCAGUGGCGAACGGGUGAGUAACACGUGAGCAACCUGCCCCAGACUCUGGAAUAAGCGCUGGAAACGGCGUCUAAUACUGGAUACGAAACUGGCCCGCAUGGGCAUGGUUUGGAGAGUUUUUCGGUUUGGGAUGGGCUCGCGGCCUAUCAGCUUGUUGGUGAGGUAAUGGCUCACCAAGGCGACGACGGGUAGCCGGCCUGAGAGGGCGACCGGCCACACUGGGACUGAGACACGGCCCAGACUCCUACGGGAGGCAGCAGUGGGGAAUAUUGCACAAUGGGCGAAAGCCUGAUGCAGCGACGCCGCGUGAGGGAUGACGGCCUUCGGGUUGUAAACCUCUUUCAGCAGGGAAGAAGCGAAAGUGACGGUACCUGCAGAAGAAGCACCGGCUAACUACGUG
rnacentral:rRNA from 1 species